AGAAGGAGAAAUGCGGUCCGUGUUAGUAUUGUAAAUUCAUGCGGCAAGUUGGAUUAAAGCCAUCAAGCUAUAGAUUGAUAAUAUAGCUCUCAGCUGGUGAGCAGUUUGGCAUUUCAGAUGUGUUGGGCGGCCGAUGUUGUGUGAUCGCUUCAGAAGUUACUGGAAUUAUAUGGUGAAUAUCAGCGCGUGCGUCAUUGCAGAACAACCACACGUUUAUCCACGUUUGUCCAGCGGACUGUAAUCACACAAACCCAACACACACACUGAAUAUCGCAGCACACGAAGCUACAGGCCUCACUGUUAUCACCACAUCAUAUUAACCCUAUCAGUAUCAAACAAAGAUCCCUACUAACAUACCGUCUGUUCAAGUUCCAAAUGUGAUGACAUCACGUCUGAGGAUCGACGUCUGAAGAUAUCUGUGCCUUCCUUUCCUUAAGUGGACAUUCUCUGGAAACCUGGGACUUGUUGGGACUGAGUAUUCUCAAUAACACAUUUCACUGCCUUCUAUCAACAUUAUUGUAUCUUUUGAUUUAAAGAACAUUGUUUUAUUGUUUAUUGUUUUGGUUAUUUCACGUAGGCCUACGCUGUUUUUGUGUCAUUUACAUUGUGUUAACAUUGUGAGGAAAUAAUUCAUUUUUUCAUUAAUACAUUGAGUUAAUUGGACACAUGA